AACAAACGCUGGCGGCAGGCCUAACACAUGCAAGUCGAACGCAAUAGCAAUAUUGAGUGGCAGACGGGUGAGUAACACGUGGGAACCUUCCUUAUAGUAAAGAAUAGCCCAGGGAAACUUGGAUUAAUACUUUAUACGCCCUACGGGGGAAAGAUUUAUCGCUAUAAGAUGGGCCCGCGUUAGAUUAGCUAGUUGGUGAG
rnacentral:rRNA from 1 species